GACCCGAUGGCACAGUUGGUUAGUGCGUAUGCUAAAGGUACAUUUGAGGUCUGGUUGUCGGCAGGAGGCCCCUGUUCGAUCCGGGGUCGGGUCA